GAGGAAAGCGGGGGGCGUGCCUAAUACAUGCAAGUCGAGCGAACAGACGAGGAGCUUGCUCCUCUGACGUUAGCGGCGGACGGGUGAGUAACACGUGGAUAACCUACCUAUAAGACUGGGAUAACUUCGGGAAACCGGAGCUAAUACCGGAUAACAUGUUGAACCGCAUGGUUCAACAGUGAAAGACGGUCUUGCUGUCACUUAUAGAUGGAUCCGCGCCGCAUUAGCUAGUUGGUAAGGUAACGGCUUACCAAGGCAACGAUGCGUAGCCGACCUGAGAGGGUGAUCGGCCACACUGGAACUGAGACACGGUCCAGACUCCUACGGGAGGCAGCAGUAGGGAAUCUUCCGCAAUGGGCGAAAGCCUGACGGAGCAACGCCGCGUGAGUGAAGAAGGUCUUCGGAUCGUAAAACUCUGUUAUUAGGGAAGAACAAAUGUGUAAGUAACUAUGCACGUCUUGACGGUACCUAAUCAGAAAGCCACGGCUAACUACGUG
rnacentral:rRNA from 1 species